rnacentral:tRNA from 1 species
CAAAGAAUAGUUUAGCUUAGAAUCCUAGCUUUGGGAGUUAGGGGCGGGAGUUAGAGUCUCCCUUCUUUGA